AGUGAACGCUGGCGGUAGGCCUAGCACAUGCAAGUCGAACGGCAGCACAGUAAGAGCUUGCUCUUACGGGUGGCGAGUGGCGGACGGGUGAGGAAUACAUCGGAAUCUACUUUUUCGUGGGGGAUAACGUAGGGAAACUUACGCUAAUACCGCAUACGACCUACGGGUGAAAGCAGGGGAUCUUCGGACCUUGCGCGAUUGAAUGAGCCGAUGUCGGAUUAGCUAGUUGGCGGGGUAAAGGCCCACCAAGGCGACGAUCCGUAGCUGGUCUGAGAGGUUGAUCAGCCACACUGGAACUGAGACACGGUCCAGACUCCUACGGGAGGCAGCAGUGGGGAAUAUUGGACAAUGGGCGCAAGCCUGAUCCAGCCAUACCGCGUGGGUGAAGAAGGCCUUCGGGUUGUAAAGCCCUUUUGUUGGGAAAGAAAAGCAGCAGGUUAAUACCCCGCUGUUCUGACGGUACCCAAAGAAUAAGCACCGGCUAACUUCGUG
rnacentral:rRNA from 1 species